CAAGUGCGCGCGGACCCCUAGCUACCUCUGAGUUGCGCUGGGCUUGGCUGCUGCACCAUGACCCUGGAGGCGAUCCGCUACUCGCGGGGCUCCCUGCAGAUCCUAGACCAGCUGCUGCUGCCCCAGCAGAGCCGCUACGAGGCGGUGGGCUCGGUGCACCAGGCCUGGGAGGCCAUCCGCGCCAUGAAGGUGCGGGGCGCCCCGGCCAUAGCCCUGGUGGGCUGUCUCAGCCUCGCCGUGGAGCUGCAGGCGGGCGCCGGGGGACCGGGACUCGCCGCGCUCGUGGCCUUCGUGCGCGACAAGCUGAGCUUCCUCGUCACCGCCCGGCCCACCGCUGUCAACAUGGCCCGCGCCGCCCGCGACCUGGCUGAUGUUGCAGCCCGGGAGGCCGAACGGGAGGGCGCUACGGAAGAGGCGGUCCGGGAGAGAGUGAUCUGCUGCACCGAGGACAUGCUGCAGAAAGACCUCAGAGACAACCGAAGCAUUGGGGACCUAGGAGCCCGCCACCUCCUGGAGCGGGUGGCCCCCAGCGGUGGCAAGAUGUGAAACGGAGCUAUGCGAGCAUUGGGAAGAGCAUACCAGGCAGAGGGAACUGCCACUGCGAGGGCCCCUGGGUGGGACUGUGCUCGGUAAGCCUUUCGCAAUCCACGCCCAGACUAGGAGCCUGCACCCCUAACCAAUGGACCACCCUGUCUGUUUGCCCCUCCCCGGGGCCUUCUCCUGGUGGGUGGGGCCCCCGCAGGUGUGAUCCGCUCACUGCACAGCCUGGGCCGCCUGGAGCAUGCCUUCUGCACGGAGACCCGGCCCUACAACCAGGGAGCCCGGCUGACGGCCUUUGAGCUGGUCUAUGAGCAGAUCCCUG
rnacentral:sRNA from 1 species